rnacentral:lncRNA from 1 species
GUUUCAGUACAAUAUUCUCUCCCCUUGCUCCUUUUUCAUGGGUUUCCCUCCUUUUUCACUUUCUUCUUGUUCGUGGCUAGAAUUUCCGUUGGGGAUGUUUCCUAGCGGAUGAGCACACAGCUCCCCAAGAGGUUGGCGCCGGUCGAUGCUUUCUGUCGGGCUUCUGCUUCAUUGGCGGGCUUGUUGGGCAAAGCUUGUUGGGCAAGGCUGAAAGAGAAGGACAGAGUUAACUUUGAAAGGUGCCUUUAUGGGGCCUUAGGUAUAGGCCUUGAGGCUCACAAUCAAAAUUAACUUUUAAGUGCUCAAGCGUGCCACUGCCAUCUUUAGCAUGGCAGAUGUAAAACGGAUGUUGAGUUUUAGUUGUAUAUGUAUCCGAUAGGCUGUUUUAGUUAUGAAAUGUGCCUUUGUGAGGCCUUAGGUGUAGGCCUUGAGGCUUCAAAUCAAGAACUAACCUAGUACUCGAAUAUAUAAUGUUUGUUUCAUUGAUUGUAGAAGUAUUAUGACUAUUAUACUUCUGAUUACCCGAGCCCGAAGAGCAGAAAGAAUCCAAAUAGGUGCCUUUGUAGGGCCUUAGAUAUAGGCCUUGAGGCUUCCCAUCAUAAUUAAUUCUAUACUCAAACGUUCUAUGAUAAUCAUAAUAUAACAGACAUAAAACUAGGAACUAGGUCGAUUACUUGCGCCCCAAGUAACUUCGGACUUUUUGUUAUCAAAGACUGUCGUGGAUGGGUUAAGUCCACAUAAGGUUCUUUUUUAUGCCUUAAGACCAAGGACUUUUGAAUGAUCAAUCUUACAUGCCCGAGAGCUUAGAACUUAGAUCUGACUUAAACGGUGAAGACACAUUCCAAUCGGAUUUAAGAACUGAGAAGUCUUUUAAUCAUCGACUUGCUAGAAAUAACUUGGAUACAACUGGAAGUAUACAACAUAUUGCUAGACUAAUGAAUGAAAAGACAAAAACAAAGAGGGUCGGGCAAGGCUGAUCGUCUUGCAACUUCCUAUCUUUGUGGUUUAUCAAGGGCUUUGGGAGCUUAAAAAGAGGGAUAUGGAGAUGAGUUUAUAAAAGGAAAUCGAUACUACAGCAAGUUUUAGACAAGGUAGCAGAGCUAUUACAAAGGG